AGCGAACGCUGGCGGCAGGCUUAACACAUGCAAGUCGAACGGGCACUUCGGUGUCAGUGGCAGACGGGUGAGUAACGCGUGGGAACAUACCUCUUGGUUCGGAACAACACAGGGAAACUUGUGCUAAUACCGGAUAAGCCCUUACGGGGAAAGAUUUAUCGCCGAGAGAUUGGCCCGCGUCUGAUUAGCUAGUUGGUGUGGUAAAAGCGCACCAAGGCGACGAUCAGUAGCNGGUCUGAGAGGAUGAUCAGCCACAUUGGGACUGAGACACGGCCCAAACUCCUACGGGAGGCAGCAGUGGGGAAUAUUGGACAAUGGGCGCAAGCCUGAUCCAGCCAUGCCGCGUGAGUGAUGAAGGCCCUAGGGUUGUAAAGCUCUUUUGUACGGGAAGAUAAUGACGGUACCGUAAGAAUAAGCCCCGGCUAACUUCGUGCCAGCAGCCGCCGU
rnacentral:rRNA from 1 species